rnacentral:sRNA from 1 species
GCGGGGCUGCGAGCUAGGGCGGGAGAAGGAGCGCGGGGAGGACGUACUUUGUGAGAUGCGAGCCGGCCAACAGCUUGCAAGCAUGCUCCGCUGGACCCGAGCCUGGAGGCUCCCGCGUGAGGGACUCGGCCCCCACGGCCCUAGCUUCGCGAGGGUGCCUGUCGCACCCAGCAGCAGCAGCGGCGGCCGAGGGGGCGCCGAGCCGAGGCCGCUUCCGCUUUCCUACAGGCUUCUGGACGGGGAGGCAGCCCUCCCGGCCGUCGUCUUUUUGCACGGGCUCUUCGGCAGCAAAACUAACUUCAACUCCAUCGCCAAGAUCUUGGCCCAGCAGACAGGCCGUAGGGGAUGACCGGGAGCUCACCACCUCUUAUGGCAGCCCAUUCUUCUGUGCUCCUACUGUUGGAAAUUCCUGGAGUCUCCUUCCUGGCAUUCUCCGAGAUUGCCACCCAGCCAGGCCAGCCCUUCAGAGACGUGGUCACAACCCUGGGGCCUGCUCUUCUCUGGCAGAGUGGCCCCAGGUUCUUCAUCUGGGCCUCCUAGGUCUGGAAACUGGGCCCUUCCCCUCCACAGGGUGUAUCCCCAGGCUCUCCACACCUUUGACCUGCUGUCCCUACAAGCCUUUGGCUGUCUACCCCCAGAAUGGGGAUAUCAACGCAGCCCCGUCUCACCCCACUCCCUAGGUGCUGACGGUGGAUGCUCGUAACCACGGUGACAGCCCCCACAGCCCAGACAUGAGCUACGAGAUC